rnacentral:misc_RNA from 1 species
UUAAGUUCAGCGGGUAUCCCCACCUGAUCCGAGGCCAACCAUUGAUAAAAAUUGGGGUCCGGGGCGCCUCCAACCGAUCGUCCACAAGCGAGGGUUUUGCUACGCUUGGAGUCCGGCUGGGGGCGCCCACGAGUUUCAGGCCCGCCGUGCAGGCGGGGCCCAUCACAAGCAAGGCUUGAGGUUUGUAAUGGCGCUCGAAC